ACGUGCUGUUUCAUCGUCCUCGGGACGUUAAGGUGCUCUGGUCGAGGAUAAAGGACCCCUCUGACAGAGGUGAAUCCGUCCUGGUGUUACCUCUUCACCGAGGCACACGUUAAAGAUUGUUCCGCGUUGUGAGUCUAACACCAGUUGUAAAAACAAUUACAACCGGUAGCGCUGGAUCCCUUGGCACGUCAUUCGAUGAAGACCGUUGCAAAUUGCGAUAAAGUGAUGUGAUGCGCAAGUCCACCACUUAUACGUGAAUCAUCGAGUUGUUGAACGCACUGCACCGCGCCCUAACCCGGCUGCGGUAUGCCCCUUUGAGCGUCAUUGUAUCCCUUCGAGAGUCUUUCUUAGACCCGAGUUCGGAGUCCUCGGUCUGCGGACCGUGUUCUCUUAGAUGCGUCGCGCUGAUCGUCUGAUGGGUCACUCUAAUGCCUGAGCGUGGAGUCCCUCGGAGUCGAGAUGCGCUUGACCGAGUGUUGAGCUCGCGUCGCCAAGUCCGCGUUCCUCUGGGACGUCGGUACUACAACGCAUGACCUCAUUGGGGUAGGACAACCCGCUAGACUUAAGCAUAUUAAUCAGCGGAGGAAAAGAAACUAACCAGGAUUCCCCUAGUAACUGCGAGUGAAGCGGGACCGGCUCAAUGUGUGAAUCUGGCUUGGGGUAGUUCCCUGGUUCGAGUUGUGCACUAUGGACGUUUCGUCUGCGUUUGUAAUGGCGGUGGAAGUCCGUUGAAACACGGCACCUCAGAGGGUCACAGUCCUGUACCACCUGCCUGCACUCGCGCCAAUGACAAGCGCUCCUCGAGUCGCGUAGUUUUGUAAUGCUGCGCCAAGUGGGAGGUAGAGACCUUCUAAGGCUAAAUAUGAUGACGUGACCGAUAGCACACAAGUACCGCGAGGGAAAGGUGAAAAGCAACCAUGAAAAAUGGGUUGAAACAGUAGUGAAAGCGCUACCGGGAUAAGGGCUAUUGGGUGCUGGGGCUUCUCGGGUGUGCUUCAGUGCUACCCUUGGAGACGGCCCGCGUGGGUUGAUUGGGGUGAUAAACGCGCCGUUGGAAUUCGGCUGUCUUUGGACAGUGUUGUAGCCUUCGGUCGCCGUCCUCCUGCGACCUUUGUA
rnacentral:rRNA from 1 species